GCCCGCCUAGCUCAAUCGGAUAGAGCGUCAGACUCUUACGGUGGGUGCAUGGUCGCCACGACCCGAAAAUCUGAAGGCUGCGAGUUCGACCCUCGCGGUGGGCU